UACGUAGGGCGCGAGCGUUGUCCGGAUUUAUUGGGCGUAAAGAGCUCGUAGGCGGCUUGUCGCGUCGAAUGUGAAAACCUGCAGCUCAACUGCAGGCUUGCAUUCGAUACGGGCAGGCUCGAGUUCGGUAGGGGAGACUGGAAUUCCUGGUGUAGCGGUGAAAUGCGCAGAUAUCAGGAGGAACACCGGUGGCGAAGGCGGGUCUCUGGGCCGAUAUUGACGCUGAGGAGCGAAAGCGUGGGGAGCGAACAGG
rnacentral:rRNA from 1 species